rnacentral:rRNA from 1 species
GCCCCAGUAACGGCGAGUGAAGCGGCAAGAGCUCAAAUUUGAAAGCUGGCUCCUUCGGGGUCCGCAUUGUAAUUUGCAGAGGAUGCUUCGGGAGCGGUCCCCAUCUAAGUGCCAUGGAACGGGACGUCAUAGAGGGUGAGAAUCCCGUAUGGGAUGGGGUGUCCGCGCCCGUGUGAAGCUCCUUCGACGAGUCGAGUUGUUUGGGAAUGCAGCUCUAAAUGGGUGGUAAAUUUCAUCUAAAGCUAAAUAUUGGCCGGAGACCGAUAGCGCACAAGUAGAGUGAUCGAAAGAUGAAAAGCACUUUGCAAAGAGAGUUAAAAAGCACGUGAAAUUGUUGAAAGGGAAGCGCUUGCGACCAGACUCGCUCGCGGGGUUCAGCCGGCAUUCGUGCCGGUGUAUUUCCCCGCGGGCGGGCCAGCGUCGGUUUGGGCGGUCGGUCAAAGGCCCUCGGAAGGUAACGCCCCUAGGGGCUCUUAUAGCCGAGGGUGCAAUGCGAC